rnacentral:piRNA from 1 species
UCUUGACUCCAGCUGCAUAUGU